AAAGGUUUGGUCCUAGCCUUACUGUUAAUUAUAAUUAGAACUACACAUGCAAGUAUCCGCAACCCUGUGAGAAUGCCCUCAAGACUCCUAUAAGAAGAUUAGAGGAGCCGGUAUCAGGCACACUAUAAUGUAGCCCAUUACACCUUGCUCAACCACACCCCCACGGGACCCAGCAGUGACUAACAUUAAGCCAUAAACGAAAGUUUGACUAAGUCAUAAUUUAACUAGGGUUGGUAAAUUUCGUGCCAGCCACCGCGGUCAUACGAUUAACCCAAAUUAACAGAGUAACGGCGUAAAGCGUGUUUAAGUUAAAUAUAAAAUAAAGUUAAUGCCUAGCUAAACUGUAAUACGUAAUAGCUAAUGCUAAAAUAAACAAUUAAAAUGACUUUAAUAUAACUGAUAAUACGACAACUAAGAUACAAACUGGGAUUAGAUACCCCACUAUGCUUAGCCUUAAACCUAAAUAGUUUGCACAACAAAACUAUUCGCCAGAGAACUACUAGCAACUGCUUAAAACUCAAAGGACUUGGCGGUGCCCUAAACCCAUCUAGAGGAGCCUGUUCUAUAAUCGAUAAUCCCCGAUAUACCCAACCCUUUUUUGCCAUUACAGUCUAUAUACCGCCAUCGUCAGCCCACCUUAAAAAAGUUUAAUAGUAAGCAUAAUUAUUAUUCCAUAAAAACGUUAGGUCAAGGUGUAGCAUAUAAAAGGGAAAGAAAUGGGCUACAUUCUCUACAUUAGAGAACUACGAAUCAUUUUAUGAAAUUAAAAUGCUUGAAGGAGGAUUUAGUAGUAAAUUAAGAAUAGAGAGCUUAAUUGAAAUAGGCAAUAGGGCGCGCACACACCGCCCGUCACCCUCCUCGAAAUAAAUCUAUUAAAUUACUAAUAACAAUAUAUAAGUCAAGAGGAGAAAAGUCGUAACAUGGUAAGUGUACUGGAAAGUGCACUUGGAAUAUC
rnacentral:ncRNA from 1 species